rnacentral:piRNA from 1 species
UGUUCAUAUGCCCCCAUCAAGCAGAGU